rnacentral:rRNA from 1 species
UACGGAGGGGGGCUAGCGUUGUUCGGAAUUACUGGGCGUAAAGCGCACGUAGGCGGCUUUGUAAGUUAGAGGUGAAAGCCCGGGGCUCAACUCCGGAAUUGCCUUUAAGACUGCAUCGCUAGAAUUGUGGAGAGGUGAGUGGAAUUCCGAGUGUAGAGGUGAAAUUCGUAGAUAUUCGGAAGAACACCAGUGGCGAAGGCGACUCACUGGACACGUAUUGACGCUGAGGUGCGAAAGCGUGGGGAGCAAACAGG